GAAACUCAGCCUCAUAGAGCUGCUAGUCUGGCUGUAAACUCAAUUUUAGUCAGUUAGUUUUCAUGGUUUCUGUUAAAGAGAACCUGCUCUACCUGGAGUUCUGCGUUUGGGUCCAAAUCCCUUGUUUUCCUGUGUCUGCGCUUGGCUUUCCAUGACAUUAGUAGUAUGCUCUCUCCAGGAAUCCUGCAAGAGUAAGAGAGAGAGAAGAACAGCGAAGGAGACAGAGCAGCGUAGAGGUCCAAGACACAGAGGGAACCACAUCCAAUUCUUAGAAACGGCUGACAUGAUUCACUAUGCAUUCAGUAGUGUUUAAAGGCUUCUACUGCAAGAGAGGUCGCCGAACACAGCCAAAGAUUGUAUCUCUCUCACAGUAAGAAAUCUGCCAUUAUUAUUACUGUUGGCUGUUACUACUGUUACUUGUGGCUGCAUUGAGAUAAAGCUCUAAAUGAAA